rnacentral:rRNA from 1 species
AUUGAACGCUGGCGGCAGGCCUAACACAUGCAAGUCGAGCGGAGCGGCGGACGGGUGAGUAAUGCCUAGGAAUCUGCCUGGUAGUGGUGGAUCACGUCCGGAAACGGGCGCUAAUACCGCAUCCUAUCCGAUGCUCCUAGGUCGGAUUCGCUAGUUGGUGGGGUAAAGGCCUACCAAGGCGACGAUCCGUAACUGGUCUGAGAGGAUGAUCAGUCAAACUGGAACGGAGACACGGUCCAGACUCCUACGGGAGGCAGCAGUGGGGAAUAUUGCACAAUGGGCGAAAGCCUGAUCCAGCCAUGCCGCGUGUAUGAAGAAGGCCUUCGGGUUGUAAAGCACUUUCAGCGGGGAGGCGUUACCCGCAGAAGAAGCACCGGCUAACUCCGUGCCAGCCGCCGCGGUAAUUC